GAUGAACGCUGGCGGCAUGCCUAAUACAUGCAAGUCGAGCGAACGCACGAUAAGCUCUCUUCUCUGAUGUUAGCGGCUGACGGGUGAGUAACACGUACAUCACCUACCUCUAAUACUUGGAUAACUUCGUGAAACCGGAGCUAAUACCGGCUAAUAUUUUGUACCGCAUGGUUCAAGAGUUCAAGACGCUCUUCCUGUCACUUAUAGAUGGAUCCGCACUGCAUUAGCUAGUUGGUAAGGUAACGGCUUACCAAGGCUACGAUGCAUAGCCGACCUGAGUGGGUGAUCGGCCACACUGGAACUGAGACACGGUCCAGACUCCUACGGGAGGCAGCAGUAGGGAAUAUUCCGCAAUGGGCGAAAGCCUGACGGAGCAACGCCGCGUGAGUGAUGAAGGUCUUCGGAUCGUAAAACUCUGUUAUUAGGGAAGAACAGAUGUGUAAGAAACUGUGCACAUCUUGACGGUACCUAAUCAGAAAGCCACGGCUAACUACGUG
rnacentral:rRNA from 1 species